rnacentral:tRNA from 1 species
GUGGGUAUAGCUCAGUGGUAGGGCACAUGCUUAGCAUGCACAAGGUCCUGAGUUCAAUCCUCAGUACCUCCA